rnacentral:tRNA from 1 species
AGCUGAAUGGUAAAGCGCUUGGCUUCCAAACUGGAAGUCCCAGGUUCAAAUCCUGU